rnacentral:rRNA from 3 species
AACGACUCUCGGCAACGGAUAUCUCGGCUCUCGCAUCGAUGAAGAACGUAGCGAAAUGCGAUACUUGGUGUGAAUUGCAGAAUCCCGUGAACCAUCGAGUCUUUGAACGCAAGUUGCGCCUUAAGCCGUCAGGCUAAGGGCACGUCUGCCUGGGUGUCACGC